AUUGAACGCUGGCGGCAUGCCUAACACAUGCAAGUCGAACGAGUGGCGGACGGGUGAGUAAUGUCUGGGAAACUGCCCGAUGGAGGGGGCUAACUACUGGAAACGGUAGCUAAUACCGCAUACCAUCGGAUGUGCCGCGAUUGGAUUAGCUAGUAGGUGGGGUAACGGCUCACCUAGGCGACGAUCCCUAGCUGGACUGAGAGGAUGACCAUCCACACUGGAACUGAGACACGGUCCGGACUCCUACGGGAGGCAGCAGUGGGGAAUCUUGCACAAUGGGCGCAAGCCUGAUGCAGCCAUGCCGCGUGUAUGAAGAAGGCCUUCGGGUUGUAAAGUACUUUCAGCGGGGAGGCGUUACCCGCAGAAGAAGCCCCGGCUAACUCCGUGCCAGCAGCCGCGGUAAUUC
rnacentral:rRNA from 1 species